AUCUUUGUGAUCUUUGCCUUAUUUCUCGGCCCAUCCGUACGUCCAGUUGUUCUCUGCGCAGCCAAAUUUGCUUCCCUAUACUCACCGUUUUAUCAGCCUUCAGUUUCGGAUCCGCAUCUGGGUUCAUCUCGCUGAGGCGAUUAUUAUAAUCCCGCGAUGCCCUGGGGUGCGUCGUCGUCCCUUUAGUACGAGGAGAAAAAAAAAAGAAAAGAAUCCAUAGUCUCCUCGCUGCAGUUAGAUCUCCUUCGUCUGAUCCACAGAAGAAACCCCCAGUUGUCCGAUCUUGGCCAUGGAGGAGACCGCUUCCAAGACCGGUGAGUCCCCAGAGCUCCCGAACGGAACCGAGGCGGAAGCCAAGGAGAGCGGGAUGGAGCCCGCGGCGGAGGUCACGGAGCGCGCAAUCGCGUCCGAAGAAGCGGCAAAAGAGCGGCCGCCGGCCGGCGAAGCCCAUUCCUUGAACGGCGAGGGGAGCCGAACGCUUACGAUGAGGGAGCUCCUGAACGAGCUGAAGGAGGAGGAGAAGGGGGCCGGGGAGAAGGAGAGAUCUGGAUCCAACGGCGGAGAUGCGAGGGGGGAGAGUACUGCGGCGAGCUCUUCGUACAGCCAAGAUGGUUUGCAACAACAUUAUAUGGGCCAGAAUGAUGUUGCCAUGGACUUGAUCAACAAUGUUACUGGGGUGGAUGAGGAAGGUCGCUCUCGCCAGCGAAUUCUUACUUUUGCUGCUAAAAGGUAUGCUAGUUCCAUUGAAAGAAAUCCAGAAGACCAUGACGCAUUCUACAAUUGGGCGCUAGUACUACAGGAGAGUGCAGACAAUGUGGAUCCGGAUUCUAGUUCUCCUUCUAAAGAUUCUUUACUUGAGGAGGCUUGUAAAAAGUAUGAAGAAGCUACAAGACUUUGCCCUACACUUCAUGAUGCAUAUUACAACUGGGCUAUUGCUAUCUCUGAUAGGGCUAAAAUGCGUGGUCGCACCAAGGAAGCUGAAGAACUGUGGAAACAGGCAACAAAAAACUAUGAGAAGGCUGUUCAACUGAAUUGGAACAGUCCUCAGGCACUUAACAACUGGGGUCUUGCUUUACAGGAACUCAGUGCAAUUGUUCCUGUUCGAGAGAAGCAGAAUAUUGUUAGAACAGCUAUAAGUAAGUUCCGUGCUGCAAUCCAAUUACAGUUUGAUUUCCAUCGGGCAAUUUACAAUCUUGGGACAGUUCUGUAUGGGUUAGCAGAGGACACAUUAAGAUCUGGGAGACCAGUCGAUGCAAAAGAAGUCUUUCCUAACGAGCUUUACAGCCAGUCAGCUAUUUAUAUUGCAGCUGCUCAUGCUCUGAAACCAACUUACUCGGUUUACCGCAGUGCUUUGAGAUUAGUUCGUUCUAUGCUACCUCUGCCCUACCUCAAAGUGGGAUAUUUGACUGCACCACCUGCAAAGGACCCAAUUGCAUCUCAUAAAGUUUGGGAAAGAUCCCAGUUUGUUUUGAAUCAUGAAGGCCUUCAACAGGUCACUAAGGGCGACAAACAAUUAUCACAAAGCCCCUCUGGUAGGCUGCAAGGAUCUGCACACAAUGAUAAAUCACUAGUUAAAGUUGAUAUACCAGAUAUUUUCUCUGUAUCAGCAUGUGCAGACCUAACCCUGCCACCAGGUGCAGGACUUUGUAUAGAUACAAUUCAUGGACCUGUAUAUCUGGUUGCUGACACAUGGGAGUCUCUUGAUGGAUGGCUAGAUGCAAUCCAGCUUGUUUACACCAUUUCUGCAAGAGGAAAGAGUGAUGUUCUUGCUGGAAUCAUAACUGGUUGAUCCCCUCAAUUAAACCUGAAAUACCAUGUUGAGGAAACUGUGGAGGUGGGAUUCCACAGUGAUUAAGUUGCUUGCUCUACAAAUGCCAUGCAAGGCUUCGUAAGUUAAAAAAUCUUCUUUCCUGUUGCUGGUCUUAUCCAGGUGACAUCUUGGUAAGUCAUCUUGAUAUUCUGCGACUGUUUCUUCUUUCUGGCAGAGACAUUAGACAUGAGUAUUACUUACAACUUGGAUAGACCCAAGAAGAAUUAGAGGUCAAUAGGUCAUAAUGCUAAAAAUGAAGAUUAUAAUUGACAAUUCCUCCAAUAAUAUAGAUGUAAAGAUUUUCCUUCUUCA